AUAUUCCUACCUUGUACAUCCUAUUUGAACAUAUUUACUAAUUAGGUAUAAUAUUCUUAGGUGUGGAGAUUGCCACUCGAUGAUGUGAGCCAUGAAGUACGUGCUCUAUCAAUGGGAUCUAAUCAUACCAUGCGUGAGUACAAAUAGCUCAUCGUCAAUGACUACAGGUUCAAUAUUCACAGUCCAGUCCAAAACAUGGCAACACAAAAUAAUGGCA
rnacentral:lncRNA from 1 species